rnacentral:rRNA from 1 species
UACGGAGGGUGCAAGCGUUAAUCGGAAUUACUGGGCGUAAAGCGCACGUAGGUGGUUUGUUAAGUCAGCUGUGAAAUCCCCGGGCUCAACCUGGGCACUGCAGUUGAAACUGGCAAGCUAGAGUAGGGUAGAGGGGUGUGGAAUUCCAGGUGUAGCGGUGAAAUGCGUAGAGAUGCGGAGGAACACCGAUGGCGAAGGCAGCCCCCCUGGGCUAACACUGACGCUCAGGCACGAAAGCGUGGGGAGCAAACAGG